ensembl:snoRNA small nucleolar RNA SNORD49
UUCAGUGAUGAAACUGCGCUAUAGGAAGUGCCGUCUGAUGCGAUAACUGACGAGGACAAAGCUGACUCUUUCUGAGA